GUGAUCUUUAGGUCUAUAAGGUCCCCUGGAAAGUUUGUCUUGGCAAAUGGAUAUUAACCAGUUGAAGACAGGCAAAUGGCAUCUACCACUUUCUAUGACAACGCUGUCCAUCCCAUGUGGCUGGUUCCUUGUCCACAUGUUGAAUCAACAGGAGUCUGACGUGUUGAGUGAACUUGGGCAAGUCUCUUAACCUCUUAAACUUCCGUUUCUUUUCUGUGAAAGAAAGAGAGCACCCCAUUCUGGUUCACAUCAGUUUAGUAAAUAAUUUCAUUCCAAGAAAGAGCCUGACCUUGUUGAGAAAGGAACCAAAUGGAAGGCAGGCUUUUUUCCUAAAGCAGCUCGAUCUUAUCAGAGUAUUCAGACUCAAAGGUUAGCCUCUGGGAGCUGCUGACUUUAGAGGGGUAUUUGAAUCUGUGAACUUUUGGCUUAAAAGUAAGAGUUCAACUCUCCUCUGGUUCUCUCUGGUGUUGCAAUGUUGGCCAAAGGUGGCUGCUGUACUGUGCGUACAACCGGAAACCCCAAAUUGGGUUUGCAUCUCUCUGACCGAGCGAGGUGCCUUCCCCAGCCUCACCUCCAGAUGUUCCAUGGGGGUUUGAAGUGUGGAGGAAGAGUUAACGGAGCUUGGUGUCUCUCUUAUUGAGCAGGGACAUGGGCAGAAGAACCAUGAAUGGAGGGAGGCCAACAUACUCCGAUCUCAGCUGUCAUUUUGAAUUUGAUCUCCUCUGUGCCAGAAAUCAGAUUUAUUGCUGGUGAGAAUGGUGACUCAUGCUCUUUUGAUGCCAACCAACUAAUUUAUCCUGCUGUGGUUUGGCCAGAUGGACAGGGCACACACCAUAAUCAUCCAAGAGGUGAAGAUGAAUUCAGAGGAAACCUCUACAGGGAUUGA
rnacentral:lncRNA from 1 species